GAAAGUUAACAGUUACAAGAAGUAAAAAGAAAAAGUUUUUGAAGUACUCUUAAUAUCUAUCAUGUUCACAUAAGAAACUGUGAAAUCUGAAUCUUAAUGGAGUUCCAGUUGAAGUGAAGAAGCAAGUCUUUAAUGUAUGUAGUUUUCUCAGAGAUGGACAAUAUGAUUCUUAAACCAUGUUGCCUUUUGCAGCAGCAGCAUAACCUUUGAGUCCAAACUAAAGCAUGAAACAUCAUUUCAAGGUGGGAUAGUAAGUCAGUAGUAUGGGUGUCUCCAUAUUCUCCUACAUUAGUGUGCUCUUGCAAGAAGAAUGGAAGGGGCCUUUGGGACCAGGUGAGAUAGCUGAUACGAAGACAGAUCACUUGAUCAGUGGUCAAUUAAUUUAAAUUCAGGAACCUGAAAGGAAUAAAUGCCUGAAGACCAAAGGUAUCCAUGGAAUGAUAGCUGUGGGACGAAUUAUGAAGGCAAGUGCC